rnacentral:lncRNA from 1 species
CUGGAAUUGAAAAUGUUAAUUCAUUUCCCCACGUAGCCCAUUGGGCAACAUCUUGCAAAAUUGAGAAUAUUUUCUCCAUGGCUUCAUCAAACAGAAUUUUCUUUUGUAAAGUGGCUUGACCCUCACAGCUAUGGCACAGAUAGCAGGGUCAUCAAAAGCUGCUCCAUUCUUCUGGAAGCUACAGAGAAAGGGAACCUGGAAACCUGGUAUGCUGGCAAAAAGGGGUCAUGGGUGGCAAAAUAAAAACAGAGAAGAUGUGGACCAUGUCAUCAUUUAAUGAAGGAAAGAACUGAAAAUUGUAUUUGAGAACAAAGACACUAAACUUACCACCAUGCCAAAAGUAGAAGAGAUAUGAGAAACUAAAUGAUCCCCACUUAGUAGGAAGCAUAAUAUUGCAUCAGAAAUAAAAUGGGAAUAAUUAUAGCACCUGCUUUAUUUGCAUUUUGUGACCAAUAAAUGAAAGAGUGUAUCUGCAAAGUUUUUACUUCAAGAACUCAAGGUACCAUGUAGUAAGAG